rnacentral:rRNA from 1 species
CCCUUAGACGUUCUGGGCCGCACGCGCGCUACACUGACCAGUGCAACAAGCAUCCGUCCUUGGCCGACAGGCCCGGGCAAUCUUUGAACGCUGGUCGUGAUGGGGAUAGACUUUUGCAAUUUUUGGUCUUCAACGAGGAAUUCCUAGUAAACGCAAGUCAUCAACUUGCAUUGAUUACGUCCCUGCCCUUUGUACACACCGCCCGUCGCACCUACCGAUUGAAUGGUCCGGUGAAGCCUCCGGAUUGGCGCGCAUCCCGGUGCCGCCGAGAAGUUGGCUAAACCUUACCAUUUAGAGGAAGGUGAAGUCGUAACA